GAAAAUAUAUUGAACAGAGUUCUUAGUGUAGUAGGAGAAAUGGCUUUGUGAAUAAGAAUGUUUUGGAUGGUAAAUUAGAGAUAGAUCAUGAUUGUUAUGAAUGCCAAGAUUAUAAUUUCUGUAAUAUAUGCUUCUGAAAGACUGCUUUUGAAAAUAAACUGCAAUAAGGAUGAAACUAAAAGCUCGUCGAUCAGUUGGAAGACCAGCAUAAUAGUUCAGGGGCAACAUGGAUACAGCAACUAAUUCUGCCUGGAGAAGUAGCAGCGAAGGUGACAUUUGAGUGGUAGUGAGGGCGGAGUCGGAGGAUUUCUAGAUCCUGAGCCUCGGAAGCUGCCGGAACCAAGGUGCUGCGGAAGUUGAGCGAGUCUCGGUGGGAUAUUGUCACUGGACCCAAUCAAGGCUGUUCCGUCCGUGCUUUCAGACGUCCGGGAUCGCUGCUGCUCGGGUGGAUCUUCAGUUUGCACAAAUACAGGCCGCAGCAGCAAAGGAUGAACGGAGCUCUAGGAAAGG